rnacentral:tRNA from 2 species
GGUUGAUUGUCUUUAGACCUUCCAUUUUGAAAAUGGAAUUAAAUACUUAAAAGUAUUAUCAACCU